rnacentral:rRNA from 1 species
GGAAAGGCGCGCGAUACAGGGUGACAGCCCCGUACACAAAAAUGCACAUGCUGUGAGCUCGAUGAGUAGGGCGGGACACGUGGUAUCCUGUCUGAAUAUGGGGGGACCAUCCUCCAAGGCUAAAUACUCCUGACUGACCGAUAGUGAACCAGUACCGUGAGGGAAAGGCGAAAAGAACCCCGGCGAGGGGAGUGAAAAAGAACCUGAAACCGUGUACGUACAAGCAGUGGGAGCACGCUUAGGCGUGUGACUGCGUACCUUUUGUAUAAUGGGUCAGCGACUUAUAUUCUGUAGCAAGGUUAACCGAAUAGGGGAGCCGAAGGGAAACCGAGUCUUAACUGGGCGUUAAGUUGCAGGGUAUAGACCCGAAACCCGGUGAUCUAGCCAUGGGCAGGUUGAAGGUUGGGUAACACUAACUGGAGGACCGAACCGACUAAUGUUGAAAAAUUAGCGGAUGACUUGUGGCUGGGGGUGAAAGGCCAAUCAAACCGGGAGAUAGCUGGUUCUCCCCGAAAGCUAUUUAGGUAGCGCCUCGUGAAUUCAUCUCCGGGGGUAGAGCACUGUUUCGGCAAGGGGGUCAUCCCGACUUACCAACCCGAUGCAAACUGCGAAUACCGGAGAAUGUUAUCACGGGAGACACACGGCGGGUGCUAACGUCCGUCGUGAAGAGGGAAACAACCCAGACCGCCAGCUAAGGUCCCAAAGUCAUGGUUAAGUGGGAAACGAUGUGGGAAGGCCCAGACAGCCAGGAUGUUGGCUUAGAAGCAGCCAUCAUUUAAAGAAAGCGUAAUAGCUCACUGGUCGAGUCGGCCUGCGCGGAAGAUGUAACGGGGCUAAACCAUGCACCGAAGCUGCGGCAGCGACGCUUAUGCGUUGUUGGGUAGGGGAGCGUUCUGUAAGCCUGCGAAGGUGUGCUGUGAGGCAUGCUGGAGGUAUCAGAAGUGCGAAUGCUGACAUAAGUAACGAUAAAGCGGGUGAAAAGCCCGCUCGCCGGAAGACCAAGGGUUCCUGUCCAACGUUAAUCGGGGCAGGGUGAGUCGACCCCUAAGGCGAGGCCGAAAGGCGUAGUCGAUGGGAAACAGGUUAAUAUUCCUGUACUUGGUGUUACUGCGAAGGGGGGACGGAGAAGGCUAUGUUGGCCGGGCGACGGUUGUCCCGGUUUAAGCGUGUAGGCUGGUUUUCCAGGCAAAUCCGGAAAAUCAAGGCUGAGGCGUGAUGACGAGGCACUACGGUGCUGAAGCAACAAAUGCCCUGCUUCCAGGAAAAGCCUCUAAGCAUCAGGUAACAUCAAAUCGUACCCCAAACCGACACAGGUGGUCAGGUAGAGAAUACCAAGGCGCUUGAGAGAACUCGGGUGAAGGAACUAGGCAAAAUGGUGCCGUAACUUCGGGAGAAGGCACGCUGAUAUGUAGGUGAAGCGACUUGCUCGUGGAGCUGAAAUCAGUCGAAGAUACCAGCUGGCUGCAACUGUUUAUUAAAAACACAGCACUGUGCAAACACGAAAGUGGACGUAUACGGUGUGACGCCUGCCCGGUGCCGGAAGGUUAAUUGAUGGGGUUAGCGCAAGCGAAGCUCUUGAUCGAAGCCCCGGUAAACGGCGGCCGUAACUAUAACGGUCCUAAGGUAGCGAAAUUCCUUGUCGGGUAAGUUCCGACCUGCACGAAUGGCGUAAUGAUGGCCAGGCUGUCUCCACCCGAGACUCAGUGAAAUUGAACUCGCUGUGAAGAUGCAGUGUACCCGCGGCAAGACGGAAAGACCCCGUGAACCUUUACUAUAGCUUGACACUGAACAUUGAGCCUUGAUGUGUAGGAUAGGUGGGAGGCUUUGAAGUGUGGACGCCAGUCUGCAUGGAGCCGACCUUGAAAUACCACCCUUUAAUGUUUGAUGUUCUAACGUUGACCCGUAAUCCGGGUUGCGGACAGUGUCUGGUGGGUAGUUUGACUGGGGCGGUCUCCUCCUAAAGAGUAACGGAGGAGCACGAAGGUUGGCUAAUCCUGGUCGGACAUCAGGAGGUUAGUGCAAUGGCAUAAGCCAGCUUGACUGCGAGCGUGACGGCGCGAGCAGGUGCGAAAGCAGGUCAUAGUGAUCCGGUGGUUCUGAAUGGAAGGGCCAUCGCUCAACGGAUAAAAGGUACUCCGGGGAUAACAGGCUGAUACCGCCCAAGAGUUCAUAUCGACGGCGGUGUUUGGCACCUCGAUGUCGGCUCAUCACAUCCUGGGGCUGAAGUAGGUCCCAAGGGUAUGGCUGUUCGCCAUUUAAAGUGGUACGCGAGCUGGGUUUAGAACGUCGUGAGACAGUUCGGUCCCUAUCUGCCGUGGGCGCUGGAGAACUGAGGGGGGCUGCUCCUAGUACGAGAGGACCGGAGUGGACGCAUCACUGGUGUUCGGGUUGUCAUGCCAAUGGCACUGCCCGGUAGCUAAAUGCGGAAGAGAUAAGUGCUGAAAGCAUCUAAGCACGAAACUUGCCCCGAGAUGAGUUCUCCCUGACUCCUUGAGAGUCCUGAAGGAACGUUGAAGACGACGACGUUGAUAGGCCGGGUGUGUAAGCGCAGCGAUGCGUUGAGCUAACCGGUACUAAUGAACCGUGAG